GUCUACGGCCAUACCACCCUGAACGCGCCCGAUCUCGUCUGAUCUCGGAAGCUAAGCAGGGUCGGGCCUGGUUAGUACUUGGAAGGGAGAAAUCACCAUAUCUGUGAAUU
rnacentral:rRNA from 1 species